AACCGCGGCACACAAAACGGUUUGGUUUCGGUUUUGGGUUUUCAAAACCGCACCGAAACCGAAACCGCACUUUUUUUUUUUAUUUAGUUCAUUCAACUAGGUUAUACUUAUACAUUUGGUUUUGCGGUUCUGGCCCCUGGGUUUGCACCGAGUGGGUUUGCACUUUCAGUGACUGCUUCUGCGCCGCCUCCUUGCAUCUCCGCAUCUGUCUUUGCGACCUGGUCACCUGACUGCCUGCUUGCAUCUGCUUCUGCCUGCCUGCCUGCGACACUGGUUAUAUAAUCAGGGAGGAGCCAUAUUUUCUUCAAGCGGAAAUCAAUUUAAUCUACACUGGUUAUAUAAUCAGGUUUCAUAAUUUUCUGAGAAAUGGGAAAAGGGUCGAAGGAAGAUGAGAAAAUCGAAAGAACAAUUCGCAGUCUUUUGAAAAUUCCCGAGAAUAAAAGAUGCAUCAACUGCAAUAGCUUGGGACCACAAUAUGUUUGCACGACCUUCAUGACAUUCGUCUGUACAAAUUGUAGUGGAGUACAUCGGGAGUUCACUCACCGAGUAAAAUCAGUGUCAAUGGCCAAAUUUUACCGCUCAGUCUUGUUGAUUAAUUUUGGUUCUUUUUGUGUUGAGUAUUCAGAGUCCUGCAGCGUCCAUUGGAAUAUAUGUGGAUUCUGGUUCCAUAUAUGAGACACCAGUAUCCAGUGGUGCCUCACACUUGCUACUAAUGCCAUAUAUGAACUUUAGUUUGAACUUUAGCUGUUUUGGUGCAGAUUUUUAUGCAGUUUUGCUGCAUUUUUUUUCCA